UGUAGGUUUCACGUUUGAAGAUCCAUUUAUUAAAAAAUUGUGAAAUAGAAUGUGAUGGAUUUACUGUCUCUAUAGACCAAGAAUGCACCCAGCAACCAAAUUCGGUUGAUUGUGGUGUCUACUUAAUGAAAUUUAUGGAAUGUCUUUCCCGUGGAGAUAUAUUUGAUUUCAACUCGGGGCCAAUGAAUUUUGAAUGAAAAAAGUUGGUUGCACAACUGAUGCUGGGCAAAAUGAUUACACCACAGUAAUGUGACAUGUAAAGGUAUGAAACAUACUUACAAUCAUGUUGCUCUUUUUAAUGGAAGGUAUGUGCUUUGAUUUUAUUUUUUAUUAUUAUCAUAGUUGUUGCGGGAUGCAAAUAUGCUUUGCUUGUAUUCAUGAUGGGUCUUGUUGUGGAUGGAAUUCAGGCCAAAAUUCUCCUUUAUCAGUGAAAGCAUUGGGGCUGCCUGUCAUAUGAUUGCUAUCUUACAGGUACUGUAAGAGGGAGAAUCUAUGUUCAUGGCUCCAAGCUGAUAUUGAAGGUUGUUAGU